AGGACACGCCGGGCUGCCCGGGCUCGCAGCUCCCGACCCCGCGUCGCCGUUAGGCAGCCGGCAGCUGGAUCCCGCUCCCCGGCUCGGCGCCAGCAGCGCUCCGCGCCGGCCCCGCGCUGCGGCCGUCCCACGCCUCCGCCCCACGGCUCUCGUCUCGGGGCUGCUGGAAGUGGCCCCGGCAAGCCUGCGGGGCUGGGCAGCGCGGGAAGCGCCAACUGACAGCUCUGCUUUGUUCCAGGGAGGGGGGAAGAGGAACACGAUCUCUUCUCAUCUUCUCCGGUGGCCUCCUUCAAUUCCCAGUGCCGCGGUUUGCCAGGUUCUGGGAUCGUGAAGCCCUGUACGAGACUGGGAGCUGCUGGCACUCGGGGGAGGAAGGACCCGCUGCCUGCGCUCCCGGUCCCGCCUGCCUCCUCUGCAGAGCCCAGCUCCAGCCUGCUCUGCCUCACUGCCUCAUCUGCUCUGAGCACAGGCUUGGGCAGCCAAGGUGGCUGUCCCGAUUCCUUCUUUGUGUCCCUGGAUGGGGAGAGCCUCUUGCUCCGGGCACAGUGAAUGGUCAGGCUCAGCAGAGCCUGGCAGUGGGGACCCCUCACUGGGAGUCUGGGAAACGCAGAAGCAGGAAUCCUGCAGGAGAAAAAAAAAUGUUUGUAUUCCCCAGGAAACUGUUUGGGCAGCAAGACCCUGACCCCAGCUGUCCAGUCCCACGGGGAAGCUAGCCACUGCCAGCUGGCCAUGCAGGACUUGGGGGUCUGGGCAGAGUGGCUGUCCCCAGAGCACGGCUCUGGGCUGAGCAGAGCUCCCCAGGCCAGCCAGGGACAGAAUUCCAUCCCCUGUUUGUUUGCCCUGGUUUGUUUCUAACCAAACUGUGCUGCUGGCUGUUUACCACUUCCCUCUCCUGCAGGAGAUGAGGCAAGCGAAGGAGAUCAGCCAGAAUAAAACAUGACCUUUAUGGG